GCCAAAAUCAAGAGUCAGACACCCAACUGACUGAGCCACCCAGGCACCCCUACAACCACUCCCCUUACACACACACACUUAAUUUUUUAUCCUUUGUAUUACUUUCUUCUAUUCAUAGCACUCAUCACCACUUAUACCACUUAGUAUAUUAUAUACUUAUUUUUGUGCACAUAUACCCCAUUCCCACUAGUAGAAUAUAAAUUCCAUGACAGCAAGAAUUUUGGCAAUCCCCAAACCUAGAAGAGGGUCUGGCACGGUUGGUGCCCAGUAUACACCUGUUGAAUAAAUGAAUGAAUGAAUGAAUGAAUGGCCCAAAUACAAGCAUACAUUCCCUCUUGUUCUCUAUCUUGGAUUGUUUUCCCCCUUAGUUUCAUGCCCAGAAUUCCCACUGGAUAAGAGAAACUGGUCACUGAAUGACACACGAACCUGUUCGGCAAGAAAAUCACCCCUACGCUCAAUGUUUCUCCUCCUGUUAGCCCUCAUCUGGGUAAAUGGCACCACCGUCCAAAAACUGGGAGUCAUGGUUCCGCUCUUCUCCUGGUGCCCCAGGCUGGGUACAUCAGCAAGUCCUACAGUGUAACCUCCAGAACAAAUGUUGCUCAGACUAAGCCACUAUCCUCUUUCACUUAACCUGCUAACCUACGUCUCCUAUUCAAUUCCUAACCCAUCCCCAUCUCCACCCCACCGAGAUGGCCCACAGUAACCAGAGACGGUGUUUAAAAUUUAUCUAAGAUCAUGUAACUACCCUAGAAGACCUUGAAUAUCUACCCAAAUUUCCUAUUAUAGGUCCCAGAACUCUGUGUGAUCCGGCCCUGCCCACCGUUUAAAUUCAUCCUUUGUCACCAUCCCUCCCCCCACCCCUGCUGCCCGGACCCCAGUUGACUUUGCUCCCUUCCUGCUGGUUUCCUACAACCUUUUGAGGAGCCCAAGUUUAUUCUGGCCUGCAAUCUUCCCACUCACUUCUUCGUGCUCUUUUUUGAAUGGCUGGUCCAUAAAGAUCAUUCUUUAGAUGUCAUUCCAAAUGUACCCCCCCCCCAACUUAGAGGGGCAUUCCACACACCAGUAGGUUUCCUCAUGCUAUUCCCUAUCGUACUGUCCUGUUACUUCAAAUACAUCACAAUUAAUCAUUAGUUUAUUUAAUAGUCCAUGCGGCAAUCCUUUCAACUAGGCCCUGAGGAAUACCCCUCUGGAUAAUUGCAACAUUUUAGAAACUGUAACAGGCCAGAGAACUUAAUCUUCUUCUCCCCUGGUGCCCUUUCUUAACCUCUACAUGGAGCAACGCCUGUUCCUUUAUUCUCUUCCUCAAAUCAAAUUCUGCUCUUCUGAACGCAGCUGGUGUCAAUGAUGUGUUAGCAUGAGUGGACACACUCCAAUCACUUGCUAGUGUGUCUGGAGUCCGGGGUUGUGGGUUCUGAGGUGCGUCACAGGCUGAGUGGGACAUUUUACUUGGACCAGGUCUCUGUCAAUCCCAGCUGGUAAAUAACAGAGCUGGAUUUUCACCUCGGUUCGGGCAUUUUGCAGGGCCCAGGAUCUUUUGCUAUACCAGUGUGUCUUUACCAUCUGGGGAGAUAGUGCAAUGGAGUGACCCUUCCAUUUUUUUCCUUUUUUUUGGCAUCGAGAUUGUAAUUGCUAGUUAGAUCAUCAUCAACCAGUGGUCCACCAUGAAGUACAAAGAGUUCUGAGAGUGCCGGUUGGGCAGAGAGGAUGACCUCUGACCUGUCCUUGAUGUCAUCAAACCCACAGCGCUCCUUUUCCAAAAUGGAAUGUACGUCUAGCCCUAUGGGUGUUCAAACAGCUUUGCACUGGAGAGUUUAGAAAAAUGUUCCAGCCAAAUGGAGUCGGGGGCUAUGCUACUCUCCAAGCCUUCCUUCUGAGAAAGGCCCGAAAUCCCCACACCACGUGACUAUUGUGGACCCCUGCCUCCAGCUAAGCCCCCUGAAUACCCACUGUCCUGGACGCAGACAGAUGGACAUGUGACCCUACCAGGGUCCUCUUCAGGAACUGAUACGGACUGGAUGAUAUGCUAGGGAGAGAAGUUUCUCUCUUUUCCCUUUAGCUCCAAGGAUGAUACAAACCAGGAAAAAAUAACUAGUGACCAUCUUCGCUGUCACCUGGAAAAAAACCGUCUGGAGCCAAUAAACUAGCUGUCUGUAGAACUAAGAGGUGGUGAAAACCACAGUCCUUACGUUGUCAUUUGAACCCGCAGGAACCAGCUGGGUUUGAACUCGGGUCACCUCUUGGCCUUCUUGGUUACAGAAAUGUAAUAUUGGGCUUUAUAAUAAAAAACAUGCAUUUGGU